GAUGAAGAACGUAGCGAAAUGCGAUAAGUAAUGUGAAUUGCAGAGUUCAGUGAAUCAUCGAAUCUUUGAACGCACAUUGCGCCCCCUGGUAUUCCGGGGGGCAUGCCUGUCCGAGCGUCAUUGCUGCCCUCAAGCACGGCUUGUGUGUUGGGCCUCCGUCCUCCUCCCGGGGGACGGGCCCGAAAGGCAGCGGCGGCACCGCGUCCGGUCCUCGAGCGUAUGGGGCUUCGUCACCCGCUCUUGUAGGCCCGGCCGGCGCUUGCCGACACAUCAAUCUUUUUUCCAGGUUGACCUCGGAUCAGGUAGGGAUACCCGCUGAACUUAAGCAUAUCAAUAAGCGGAGGA
rnacentral:misc_RNA from 1 species